AAGACUCUAGUAAAAUUAAUAUACAUUGCUUUGUCAAGGCAAAGUCGUAGGUUAGACUCCUACGUGUCUUA
rnacentral:tRNA from 1 species